CGAAAAAAAAAUUCGCUUGAAUAAAUUUUGAUGCAGACAAAGAUAUUUAAAGGUAUACAGAAGAAGUUCAUGAUUGCUUCCGACUUCGUCGUUGCCGCCACCACUGAUGGUUCGAAGAGAUAGGAUUCGCUGCCUUGCUCAGCACCACCACAGACCGACGAAUCACGAGAAAUCAGCAACAACACCGGCGAAUCAUGAGAAAUCACCAAAUCUAAUUCACGGAUCUGAUUCGCGGCCACCAGAAACACCGGCGAAUCACCAACACUGAUCUGUGGUACUGAUCGCAUCCACCAGGAACAACAGCGAUCUCUGGUUCAAUUUCGAAAAGAUCUUUGAAAAUCCGAUUUCGAUUUCAAAGAAUCAUUGAAAUCGGUUUAAAUAUUGGAAUUGUGAAAUCGAUUGAAAUCGAUUUCGAUUUCAAAGAUUUGAAUGAGAAUUGCUGAAUUGAAUUUGUGUUCACCUGAUUCGAUUUCAGAUUGAAUUGAAUUGAACCACAACCACCGCCAUUUUUUUGUUCGAUUUCAGAUUCAGCGACUGCACGUGCUUAACUUAAUAGCAAAUCGCGCCCACGAACUUCAAACUUUUAGGAAAAGGAAAACCGCCUCCUCCUCUAAACCUAAUCCUCAAUUUAGUUCUCACUCGCCGCUUUCUAGCUCUAAUCCCUUCACAUGGAACUUCAAAGAUCUAGUUUUGUUGAAUUCGUCUUCUAAUUUCUUGUAAUAUUUGUGUUGUUUAGGUUUUUUUUGUGUAAUGGAAUCUAGCAUCUUCAGUUGGUGAAGAUGGAGAAGAGGCGGCGUUGGUCGGCGCUUUCCUCAUUGAGGCUCUUCAAAAUUCAAAACCCUUGUCAUCGUCUAACCAUUUCAGUUUCUCACUUCUCUAUUUUUCGAUCAAUUUCGGUUCAAUUUUGCUAUAAAUAGUUCAAUUUCGUGUUAUGCGUAAAUUUGGAUAAAGUUUUGUAGAGGUAAAUUUGGGGUUUGUUGGGUAUAUUUGUUUCAACUGGACGUUUUCGCUGUGAUUUUAAGGUGUUUUAAUCUACAAUUAUGAUUAAUUUGGGGUUGGUUGUUUAACAUUACCUGAGAUCUGGUUGUUUACAAUUCAUGGUCGAUUAAUUAGGCUAUCUCUUCGAAUCUUUCUACAAAGCCAGCGACAAUCAAUCAGCAAUUCGGCAAACAUCCUAAAUAGAGACAAAACGAGAGCGAGACAAACUCGAGGAGAAGACUUGAAAAUCUCCAUUUGAACCGCAGAAGGCGGAGAGCUGAAGUUCAUGACAAGCCCCAAUCUAGUACCAGCGACGGAGCUGGAAGCUGAAUGAGGAGAGAGAAAGCAGAAGUCCAGAGAUUUCGAGGUAGAAGAUGAAGAAGAGUGAGAAAGAGAAGAUGCAACCUAAGUUGCAAGCAGAGCAGUGGCUGCUAUGGCCGUUGUUGUUGUGAAUAUUGACCUCAUAAUCGUCAUUUCUUUCUGGUUCUUUUUAAGAAAUGAAGAUUUCUAUGUUCUUAUGAAGAAAAUCCUAUCAACAAAACGGAAAAGAGUUGACGAAUCAGAUGAGUCGGAUAUGGAGGAUAAAAAUGUUGAUGAUUCUAAUGGUUCAAAGAUGGAAGAUGGUAAUUACAAGCAGAUAUCUGCAUCCAGUAUGCUGGUAUAUAGGGUACGUAUUGGAAGUGGACCUGGAUUUUUAGCACAGCAUAAGGCGGCCUCCUGUUAUAACAGGAGGUGACAACAUCUCUUGAAGAAAUCAUAAAGUAAAGAAUACUUGAGGUUGUCAUAGACUUUGAAGAUAAUGCAAAGUGAGAACAUAAGGUGCCACACAAAAGGAUAUUGAAAUCCAUGAUUGACUGUGGAAUUGGGCCUGGUGUUAUUUCUUAUACAACUACUAUAACGGUUUUCUUCUAUCACCUUUAACAAAUAUCAAGAUGAGCUUGAUCCAGUUGUUAAUAUGUUUGCCCAUAUGAUUCUCAGGUUUGUUUGGAAAGUAAAAGCUGAAUAUAGCAUUUUCAGCUUCUGAAAUGAAGAGGCACUGCAUUAAAAUAAAUUUGGUGACAUAUAACAAGAACUCCGUUGAGAUCCCAUACUAAAUAUUAAGGUAAGUUGUUUUCUAAUUUAGGGUUUACUAUUCAUUCUCAUAUAGUGUUGGCCUACUUCUCUUUUGAAUUAAAAUCAGGCGAAAUCUAGCAGUUAUUGGACCAAUGCUUUCAUCCCAACAGAUAUAGUCAAGCUUGUGGACUACUCAAGAAUGCAGUUGUUUUAGCCUUUGAAGCAUCUAAGUCGUUCAUAGUUUUAAUAGUGCAUAUUUGCAGACUUCUUUAGAGGUCGCUGAUUAUUGAGCAUUGUUGAACAUGUAUAUUCUUUAAAAUAGAUGUAGAGAAUCUUCGUUUCAUGUUGUACUUGUAUUGUUUUUAUAAUAUUAAUCUUUUUGAUUUA